rnacentral:rRNA from 1 species
GAUGAACGCUGGCGGCGUGCCUAAUACAUGCAAGUCGAGCGAACGGACGAGAAGCUUGCUUCUCUGAUGUUAGCGGCGGACGGGUGAGUAACACGUGGAUAACCUACCUAUAAGACUGGGAUAACUUCGGGAAACCGGAGCUAAUACCGGAUGAUAUUUUGAACCGCAUGGUUCAAAAGUGAAAGACGGUCUUGCUGACACUUAUAGAUGGAUCCGCGCUGCAUUAGCUAGUUGGUAAGGUAACGGCUUACCAAGGCAACGAUGCAUAGCCGACCUGAGAGGGUGAUCGGCCACACUGGAACUGAGACACGGUCCAGACUCCUACGGGAGGCAGCAGUAGGGAAUCUUCCGCAAAGGGCGAAAGCCUGACGGAGCAACGCCGCGUGAGUGAUGAAGGUCUUCGGAUCGUAAAACUCUGUUAUUAGGGAAGAACAUAUGUGUAAGUAACUGUGCACAUCUUGACGGUACCUAAUCAGAAAGCCACGGCUAACUACGUG